UACAGAGGGGGCAAGCGUUGUUCGGAAUUACUGGGCGUAACGCGUGCGCAGGCGGUUGUGCCAGACCGAUGUGAAAUCCCCGGGCUUAACCUGGGAAUGGCAUUGGUGACUGCACGGCUAGAGUGUGUCAGAGGGGGGUAGAAUUCCACGUGUAGCAGUGAAAUGCGUAGAGAUGUGGAGGAAUACCGAUGGCGAAGGCAGCCCCCUGGGAUAACACUGACGCUCAUGCACGAAAGCGUGGGGAGCAAACAGG
rnacentral:rRNA from 1 species